GUUGACCUCGGAUCAGGUAGGGAUCAUCCCGCUGA
rnacentral:rRNA from 1 species